GGGUUGUGAGGUUAAGCGACUAAGCGUACACGGUGGAUGCCCCGCAGUCAGAGGCGAUGAAGGACGUGCUAAUCUGCGAAAAGCGUCGGUAAGGUGAUAUGAACCGUUAUAACCGGCGAUGUCCGAAUGGGGAAACCCAGUGCAAUUCGUUGCACUAUCGUUAACUGAAUACAUAGGUUAACGAGGCGAACCGGGGGAACUGAAACAUCUAAGUACCCCGAGGAAAAGAAAUCAACCGAGAUUCCCCAGUAGCGGCGAGCGAACGGGGAGCAGCCCAGAGUCUGAAUCAGCUUGUGUGUUAGUGGAACGGUCUGGAAAGUCCGACGGUACAGGGUGAUAGUCCCGUACACCAAAAUGCACAGGCUGUGAACUCGAAGAGUAGGGCGGGACACGUGGUAUCCUGUCUGAAUAUGGGGACCAUCCUCCAAGGCUAAAUACUCCUGACUGACCGAUAGUGAACCAGUACCGUGAGGGAAAGGCGAAAAGAACCCCGGCGAGGGGAGUGAAAAGAACCUGAAACCGUGUACGUACAAGCAGUGGGAGCACCUUCGGGUGUGACUGCGUACCUUUGUAUAAUGGGUCAGCGACUUAUAUUCUGUAGCAAGGUUAACCGUAUAGGGAGCCGCAGGAAACCGAGUCUUAACUGGGCGUUAAGUUGCAGGGUAUAGACCCGAAACCCGGUGAUCUAGCCAUGGGCAGGUUGAAGGUUGGGUAACACUAACUGGAGGACCGAACCGACUAAUGUUGAAAAAUUAGCGGAUGACUUGUGGCUGGGGGUGAAAGGCCAAUCAAACCGGGAGAUAGCUGGUUCUCCCCGAAAGCUAUUUAGGUAGCGCCUCGUGAACUCAUCUUCGGGGGUAGAGCACUGUUUCGGCUAGGGGGUCAUCCCGACUUACCAACCCGAUGCAAACUACGAAUACCGAAGAAUGUUAUCACGGGAGACACACGGCGGGUGCUAACGUCCGUCGUGAAGAGGGAAACAACCCAGACCGCCAGCUAAGGUCCCAAAGUCAUGGUUAAGUGGGAAACGAUGUGGGAAGGCACAGACAGCCAGGAUGUUGGCUUAGAAGCAGCCAUCAUUUAAAGAAAGCGUAAUAGCUCACUGGUCGAGUCGGCCUGCGCGGAAGAUGUAACGGGGCUAAACCAUGCACCGAAGCUGCGGCAGCGACACUAUGUGUUGUUGGGUAGGGGAGCGUUCUGUAAGCCUGCGAAGGUGUGCUGUGAGGCAUGCUGGAGGUAUCAGAAGUGCGAAUGCUGACAUAAGUAACGAUAAAGCGGGUGAAAAGCCCGCUCGCCGGAAGACCAAGGGUUCCUGUCCAACGUUAAUCGGGGCAGGGUGAGUCGACCCCUAAGGCGAGGCCGAAAGGCGUAGUCGAUGGGAAACAGGUUAAUAUUCCUGUACUUGGUGUUACUGCGAAGGGGACGGAGAAGGCUAUGUUAGCCGGGCGACGGUUGUCCCGGUUUAAGCAUGUAGGCUGGUUGUCCAGGCAAAUCCGGAUAAUCAAGGCUGAGGUGUGAUGACGAGGCACUACGGUGCUGAAGUAACAAAUGCCCUGCUUCCAGGAAAAGCCUCUAAGCAUCAGGUAACAUCAAAUCGUACCCCAAACCGACACAGGUGGUCAGGUAGAGAAUACCAAGGCGCUUGAGAGAACUCGGGUGAAGGAACUAGGCAAAAUGGUGCCGUAACUUCGGGAGAAGGCACGCUGGUGUGUAGGUGAAGCCCCUGCGGGUGGAGCUGAGACCAGUCGAAGAUACCAGCUGGCUGCAACUGUUUAUUAAAAACACAGCACUGUGCAAACACGAAAGUGGACGUAUACGGUGUGACGCCUGCCCGGUGCCGGAAGGUUAAUUGAUGGGGUUAUCCGUAAGGAGAAGCUCUUGAUCGAAGCCCCGGUAAACGGCGGCCGUAACUAUAACGGUCCUAAGGUAGCGAAAUUCCUUGUCGGGUAAGUUCCGACCUGCACGAAUGGCGUAAUGAUGGCCAGGCUGUCUCCACCCGAGACUCAGUGAAAUUGAACUCGCUGUGAAGAUGCAGUGUACCCGCGGCAAGACGGAAAGACCCCGUGAACCUUUACUAUAGCUUGACACUGAACAUUGAGCCUUGAUGUGUAGGAUAGGUGGGAGGCUUUGAAGCGUGGACGCCAGUCUGCGUGGAGCCAACCUUGAAAUACCACCCUUUAAUGUUUGAUGUUCUAACGUUGGCCCCUUACCGGGGUUGCGGACAGUGUCUGGUGGGUAGUUUGACUGGGGCGGUCUCCUCCCAAAGCGUAACGGAGGAGCACGAAGGUUAGCUAAUCUGGUCGGACAUCAGGAGGUUAGUGCAAUGGCAUAAGCUAGCUUGACUGCGAGCGUGACGGCGCGAGCAGGUGCGAAAGCAGGUCAUAGUGAUCCGGUGGUUCUGAAUGGAAGGGCCAUCGCUCAACGGAUAAAAGGUACCCGGGGAUAACAGGCUGAUACCGCCCAAGAGUUCAUAUCGACGGCGGUGUUUGGCACCUCGAUGUCGGCUCAUCACAUCCCGGGAAGUAGGUCCCAAGGGUAUGGCUGUUCGCCAUUUAAAGUGGUACGCGAGCUGGGUUUAGAACGUCGUGAGACAGUUCGGUCCCUAUCUGCCGUGGGCGCUGGAGAAUUGAGGGGCUGCUCCUAGUACGAGAGGACCGGAGUGGACGCAUCACUGGUGUUCGGGUUGUCAUGCCAAUGGCACUGCCCGGUAGCUAAAUGCGGAAGAGAUAAGUGCUGAAAGCAUCUAAGCACGAAACUUGCCCCGAGAUGAGUUCUCCUGAGACUUUAAGUCUCCUGAAGGAACGUUGAAGACGACGACGUUGAUAGGCCGGGUGUGUAAGCGCAGCGAUGCGUUGAGCUAACCGGUACUAAUGAACCGUGAGGCUUAACCUUACAACGCCGAAG
rnacentral:rRNA from 1 species